GUGUGUGUGUUUUUCUCCCUGUCUCUCACACACAUGCACACACACACUCUCCCCUGCUGGCUUCGGGCCCCGUCCCGGCUCCUUGCUGCUGUCUCAGAGACCCAGCCCCGCUCUGGGCAGCAGCUCCUCAGCGAGCCGGGCUCCAGGCAUCUGCUCAGGGCUGGCCCUGGGACAGGGGAAACCAGCCGGAGCCCCUGAGUGUGGGCAGGCAGCAGAGGAGAGUCAGGACCAGCAGGCGGGGCCUCCCGACCUGGAAGGGAAGGUCUGAUUUUCAAAGCACAGGCUUGUGGGCGUUUAAUCUUGAAUGUUCUCUGGCUCAUUCCACAGCCUCGCAUCUCCCUCCUCUUUGCCUCCCGCCUCCAGGUUUGUCCCCGGCGUGAUGCCAGCAAGUGUCUGGGCCAGACCCUGAACACUGCGGGCAGGGGCUGAGCCAGAGGAAGGGUUCAGAAGUGGGGGGCCUGGGGCCAGGGAGGGCCAGGCGUGGUCUGGAGCAGGGGGCGCUGCCCCUUCAGUGCCAGGCCUGCCCACCUCCUGCACGUACGGGCCCUCCCUGUCUGCUCCCCUAGCCCGGCACCUUCCUUGGAGAGGACCCCCAGCCUCUGAUCUAAAACGCCUCACUGUGGAAAUGGUCAGUGGUGGUCCUCACCUCCAGGGUCGGGAGAAUGGAUGAGAUGGCACUGCAGGGCCCCGAGUGCUGGCCAGCCGGGACCUGACGUUGUGGGUGCAUAACACACAGUGCGGUGAAGGAAUGAAUGUGUGAAUGGAGGCGUCUGUAAGGACACGCCGAUGUUCUCUGGGCCAUUUAGAACACCCUUCGUGCCUCCAUGAUAAUCUCCAGUCCAGUGCAGUGCAGUAUUGGCUGCUUCUCAGCGGCCCCGGCCGGGCUGUGCAGACAGAGGCCGAGGAGGCGGCAGGAGGGGAAGGAGGAGUCCAAUCAGCUUUGUCCAGGGCUGCAGGGCGCUGCCGGGCGCCAGGAGGGAGGCCCAGCCCUGCUGGUGACCACAAAGGUCCCAAGAGGGCCGAGCCUUUCUUGGGUCAGGCCCAGGACACUGAGAGCUCAGUCUGGCUUCUCUCUGAGGCUCCUGGUUUGUACGCCACCACCCUCCCGGGUCUCCCAGCCCGAGGACAGAGGCUGCAUCCUUGGUAGGGUGCUCCCAGCCUCUCCUCCACCCAGUCCUGCCAGCCUUCUCUCCUCCGCCCCUGGCCACACCUGCCCUUGGCCUGGCCAGUCUCUGCGUGUGCCCUCCUCUCUGGCCUUGCCCGUCUUUCAGGGCCCACCCUGAUCGCCCACCUCCUCCAGGAAGCCCUCCUCCCAAUUAAUCUCACCCACACACGGGCCUUCACAAUCAGAGAGAGUCAGGGUGGAGUGUCCCAGAGGCUGGCCCCAGGGGCAGGUGGAGCCUUUCUACACCGGGUCUCCAGCCUCCAGUGCAGGCUUUGCCCACCCAGCUGUGUGCUCUUGGCAGGUUCCCCUCCACAUGGAGCUUGUUUCCUGUCAGCCAACCCAGGACGAUGGUGCGCCCUCCCUGGGCCACAGGGAGGGUUCAAUGAGAUCCGACAAUGCAAUCUACCAGCACACAGUAGGACCUCAAUCCAGCCUGGUAAAAAAGAAAUAACAGGCCCCAGAUGGACUCAUUUGCCCCAUGACAGCAAGCCAAGACAUGAUGCAGUUUUGACCUUUCCCGGAAAUGUAGUCUUAGUCAACCAGUCUGGAAGCUUCUGGUCGGUAUCAAUGAGGUCAUCCGUCGGGGGGCCCUCUCCAUCCGCCGAGGAGGCCGAGGCGGCCGAGGCGAAUCAAACCCUUGCCCUCCCCUCUCCUAAAGAGAAGAGGUUCUGGCCCCAAGGAAUCCUUUCUUUUCUUUAGCUCAUACUUCCUUGCCCAUCCUCCUUCCUGUGGGAACCUUCCAUUUUGUAUCGCUCCUUGGAGUCUCUCUCUGCUUGCCAGACGACAAGCUGUCCGUGAAUCUUUGGAUGAAGCCUAUUAGAUCUUCAAAUUUACUGGGUGCAUUCUGUUUUUAACAAACCUCAACGUCAAGGGGCUCGGAGCAGCGACCUUCAUCUUCCUCCCUCCCGGGUCUGCAGGUGGCUGGGGCAGGGGCUCUGCCUCAGGCUUUGGGUGAGCUCUGGGCUGCUCCUCAGGCCUCUCCUGGAAGCAGCGGCUCCACGCCCUCACGGGACGAGGCCAAAACGCAAGAAGGGCGAGCGCACAAGCCAGGCAUGUCUCUUAAGGCUUCAGCUCAGAGCGGGUCACUGUCACUUCCACCCGCGUUCCCCUGGCCAGUGCGAGUCACAUGACUGCGUCCACCGUCAGUGGGACAGGGCCCUGCGCUUUCCCACUCCAGAGCUCCAUGAUCAUGUGGCGGAGGGAGGGAGGGACCGGGAGCAAGGCCCAUGUGCCGCCUUGACACUGCAGCCCCAGGCCCCUCUUGCAGAAUCUCGGAGCACCCAGGCCCCAGGCGUCUCUGGCAGGGUCCCCAAGUCCUUACCCGUAAUAUUGGGCAAACUGGCUCGAGCCCCAUCCCAUGUACUGUGGGAUGUCCACGGGCCUCUCUGAGCGUCUGCCGUUCCCCAGGGCCUAAGGACUCUGAUCCUUUCCCCUCCUGGUUUCCUGAUUCUGCUCAACGUGGUCCAUCUCCUUCCUGGGCUGUCCCCUCCACCCCACCCCGCACUGAGUUUAGGGCCCAGGCUGGGUUAUUCUAAACUCUCUUUUGCCUGGCUAAGCAGAAGGCCAUCUAUUCUGAGUUUCUAUCCUUUAGUAUUACAAACUCCUACUGGAAAUGUAUUAUUAUUGUUGUUGUUGUUGUUUUGCCUCCAACAGGAUAAAAUUCUGCGCCCCCCCCCCCGCCCCCUCAGGGCCGGGUAAGCCAGAGGGAACUCUACGGAGGCUCCUCUCCUGCCUGCCUCCUGGCGGAGCGGCGCCAGGCACUGAGGAGCUUCUCGCCAGCCUGCUGAGCGUAUUAGCACAUGGAAGGUGCACCUGGCCCUGGGGCAUCUUUCCUGGAGCAUCUGUCACCCAGUUCUGACAGGGGAUGGCAGGAAAGAGCCUGUAGGAUUUAGGGUGCUUGAGAGGAUUAAAUGAAGGAAACCAUGUCAAGGCCCCGGGGCACCAAUAGGCAUGAAUUGUCAGUGUUAGAUCUCCUUUUCUUUAGAGAACGCCUCAUCUUAGGGUGACCCUAUAUCACUGUCCAUGCCAGGACAUUUGAGAGCGCAAGGGGACACUGCUCUUAAUGACAUCCAUGACAGGCAUAGACGGGGACUGUCCCAGGCCCACUAGGAGCUGUGGUGGCCCCCUCUCCCUGGACCUUAUCAGACUCUUGUUCCUCCACUCCCUCCCUCCCACCUCCACGAGGAAGAAGCGCGGCUUGCCCUACGCUCAGAGUACACGGCUGCCUCCUGGCCUGGGGGCCCUGGGGUGGGCAGGACUCAGACUCCGGGGACCAUCCAGCCUUGCCUUGAGCCUUUCCCCGACCCAGGGCAGACAGCUCCUCCCUCUCCAGGAAUGAAGCCGGGAAGAGGGACCCCGAGGCAUCGUCAGUGGCCGUGAGCUCAACCUUGGAAGCAGCUGUCUGGGCACAGAGGAUGCAACUGGCUCCCAAAGAAGGAAACAGAGAGGGAGAGAGAGAGAGAAGGGAGCUUGAAGGACUCUAUUCCUGGUCCCCGCUGAGUUCCUGAGACUCAGCAAAGCUCCAGGACUGGUGACAUGACACUGUACAUUUCACAGCUUGCUUAAGCCAUGCUUCCGUCACUUGCAAUCAGAAAGUCCUGGCUGACCCACUGUGUCUACACAACUCGAGUCACCAUAAGCUCUCUCAGGAUAGAGACGGGCCUGCUCGGCGUGGAAGGGCGACUGGGCCGUCUGUAGUCAGAAGACCCGGAUUCCAGUCCCGACUCUGCCCAUGCCCGACCGUGUGUCCUGGGGCGUGUGGUCACCAAGCAGUCCAGGGCGGAAGGAAACCCAGAGAAUGUCGGAUUGAGCCAGUGCACUGGCGGCUUCUCAGGUGAGACUGCAAAAGGGCAAGAAGUUCUUGGUAAAACUCAGUUUUCCCAACUGUAAAAUGAGGCCGUGAUUUCUAAGGGCAUCUCAGAUGAAAUCUAUAUCAUCUAUAUCUACGUCUAUAAAAUUGAUCCAAUUGUGGCAAACAUAUAAUAAGCUCCCACAAGGUGCUCGUGCUGCACUAGGCCCAGGGAUCCACUGGGAAUGAGGCUUGAUGGCUGCCCGCAGGAGCUUUGGUGUAGGAGAAACAUCUGCUUUACCUUGACCUUGAACCCUCCUUUGAUGAGCAGAGACCAAUCUAGAAGGGCCUUUUGGUAGUGGAUCCUGGGCCAUAAGAGAAAGAGGCUCCCACAGCACCUGGAGGCCUCGCCUCACCUGCGCUGGUUCAAACCACUUCCCGGCUGGAGUCCUGGGGAGAAGUGGAGACAAGUCUACCUGCUGCUCCAGCUGGGAGUCUAAUCAUGCCUCGCCCGCUGCUCAGGCUCAUCCGAGCCCUUGGCUUCCUGGAGACCACCCACCACAUAUGCCCCCACCAGGCAGUCCUGGUGGCAGCUGCUCCCCCAGAGGUGACAGAGAGAGAAAUGACUUCUCCCCGUCUCCUGGUUGGAUCCAGCCAGUGGGCGCAGUGGCAUCUGAGUCCUGCCAAGCCUGAUAAUGGAACUGUCGCCGUCAGACUGGCCCUGGGAGGUGAGUGGUGAGAGUUCCAGGAACCUGGAGAUUGUCUGCCACGUGGGUCACCUCGCACUGGAUUGGCUCAGGGAGUGAUUUCAGACUGCAAAUUGCAUUGCGAGCUCCUCUUCCCCGACCCUCAGCAGGGCCUGUCACAGUGCUUCUCUCAGACUCCAGCUCCUAAAGCUCCCCCAAGACUGUCAUCAUCAGAGACAGCCCGCUCUGGGCUUGAAUCCCUGGGCAGAAACUGACAGGUGUGGGGCUGCUGGCAGGUUACUUCAUGGAAGUGUGGGAACAUGGGAGUUGUAAUUGUUUCAGUUGGGUCCAUUUCUUUCAGGACAGACAUUCAUACGGGCUUAAUCCAGAAAAGGGAAUUUAUAGGCUUAUGUAACUGAGAAGUUCAAGGACACCCGGUUGCUGAGUGACAGAGCCAGGAUUCCGGGGCAGAAUUGCCAGGUGCUAAAAUCACACUGUUCCAGGUCCCCUCACACCUGGCUCAACCUUCCAUGUCCCCUCACACCCAGAAUGAAAUCUAAGGGCCCUCCUGAGGCCUCCAAGGCCUGAUCCAGUCCCCCAUCCUCUCUGACUCCUCCCCUGCCCUCCCCCCAUCUCUGCUCCUGCCCCCCGACCUUCUAGCUGUCAUGGCACUGCUCAUCAGGCCAUGCUGAGGCGGUGUCCCACAUGCCACAACUAUAAGGACCCACAACUAAAA